rnacentral:rRNA from 1 species
AUUGAACGCUGGCGGCAGGCCUAACUCAUGCAAGUCGAGCGGAUGAAGGGAGCUUGCUCCUGGAUUCAGCGGCGGACGGGUGAGUAAUGCCUAGGAAUCUGCCUGGUAGUGGGGGAUAACGUCCGGAAACGGGCGCUAAUACCGCAUACGUCCUGAGGGAGAAAGUGGGGGAUCUUCGGACCUCACGCUAUCAGAUGAGCCUAGGUCGGAUUAGCUAGUUGGUGGGGUAAAGGCCUACCAAGGCGACGAUCCGUAACUGGUCUGAGAGGAUGAUCAGUCACACUGGAACUGAGACACGGUCCAGACUCCUACGGGAGGCAGCAGUGGGGAAUAUUGGACAAUGGGCGAAAGCCUGAUCCAGCCAUGCCGCGUGUGUGAAGAAGGUCUUCGGAUUGUAAAGCACUUUAAGUUGGGAGGAAGGGCAGUAAGUUAAUACCUUGCUGUCUUGACGUUACCAACAGAAUAAGCACCGGCUAACUUCGUG